rnacentral:rRNA from 1 species
AACACAUGCAAGUCGAGCGAGGUAGCAAUACCUAGCGGCAGACGGGUGCGUAACAUGUGGGAAUCUGCCUUUUGGUUCGGAAUAACACGAGGAAACCUGUGCUAAUACCGGAUAAGUCCUUACGGAGAAAGUUUUAAUGCCAAAAGAUGAGCCCGCAUUUGAUUAGCUAGUUGGUGAGGUAAAAGCUCACCAAGGCGAUAAUCAAUAGCUGAUUUGAGAGGACGAUCAGCCACACUGGAACUGAGACACGGUCCAGACUCC